AACGCGAAGAACCUUACCAGCCCUUGACAUCCCGGUCGCGGGAACGAGAGAUCGAUCCCUUCAGUUCGGCUGGACCGGAGACAGGUGCUGCAUGGCUGUCGUCAGCUCGUGUCGUGAGAUGUUGGGUUAAGUCCCGCAACGAGCGCAACCCUCGCCCUUAGUUGCCAUCAUUCAGUUGGGCUCUCUAAGGGGACUGCCGGUGAUAAGCCGCGAGGAAGGUGGGGAUGACGUCAAGUCCUCAUGGCCCUUACGGGCUGGGCUACACACGUGCUACAAUGGCGGUGACAAUGGGACGCAAUGGGGCAACCCUGCGCAAAUCUCAAAAAGCCGUCUCAGUUCGGAUUGCACUCUGCAACUCGAGUGCAUGAAGUUGGAAUCGCUAGUAAUCGCAGAUCAGCACGCUGCGGUGAAUACGUUCCCGGGCCUUGUACACACCGGAGUA
rnacentral:rRNA from 1 species